rnacentral:rRNA from 1 species
AUUGAACGCUGGCGGCAUGCCUUACACAUGCAAGUCGAACGGCAGCAUGAUCUAGCUUGCUAGAUUGAUGGCGAGUGGCGAACGGGUGAGUAAUACAUCGGAACGUGCCCUGUAGUGGGGGAUAACUAGUCGAAAGAUUAGCUGAUACCGCAUACGACCUGAGGGUGAAAGUGGGGGACCGCAAGGCCUCAUGCUAUAGGAGCGGCCGAUGUCUGAUUAGCUAGUUGGUGAGGUAAAGGCUCACCAAGGCGACGAUCAGUAGCUGGUCUGAGAGGACGAUCAGCCACACUGGGACUGAGACACGGCCCAGACUCCUACGGGAGGCAGCAGUGGGGAAUUUUGGACAAUGGGCGAAAGCCUGAUCCAGCAAUGCCGCGUGUGUGAAGAAGGCCUUCGGGUUGUAAAGCACUUUUGUCCGGAAAGAAAUGGCUCUGGUUAAUACCUGGGGUCGAUGACGGUACCGGAAGAAUAAGGACCGGCUAACUACGUG